AAGAAGAUCUUGCAAGAAAUUAAGAUCAGAUCAUUGCAAGCACAAGACCAAACAUCAAGGGUUGCACAUGCUUGGGAGUUCUCACAAAUGUCUCUGAGGCUUUUGAUUGCGUUUGGCCAAAAAAGUUUCGAGAGUUGCACCCUGGAUGGCUCUUUGGAAUUUAACAUUUCGUCUCGUUCUCUUUUUGGAGACCUCUUCAACUGAGCCCUUUUUGUGUUUUCUACGGUAAAGGACAGUCCAUGAAAUCUUUCGUGGAUUUCUUCUCAUCAAGAAGGAUCUCUCACAUUUUUUGUCUAGGAAAUUGACUAUUAAAUUGAUGUAUAAAACAUUUAUUGGUUAUGGAAAAAUAAUAUAGAUGUGAUUUUACAAUCUUUGUGAACAAUACAAUGUUUCUUUAUCUUUUUUGA